rnacentral:rRNA from 1 species
UACGUAGGGCGCAAGCGUUGUUCGGAUUUACUGGGCGUAAAGGGCGCGUAGGCGGCCACCGCAAGUCGACUGUGAAAUCUCCGGGCUUAACUCGGAACGGUCAAGUGAUACUGCUGUGCUAGAGUGCGGAAGGGGCAACUGGAAUUCUUGGUGUAGCGGUGAAAUGCGUAGAUAUCAAGAGGAACACCUGCGGCGAAGGCGGGUUGCUGGGCCGACACUGACGCUGAGGCGCGAAAGCUAGGGGAGCGAACGGG